rnacentral:rRNA from 1 species
UACGAAGGGGGCUAGCGUUGCUCGGAAUUACUGGGCGUGAAGCGCACGUAGGCGGUCUUUUAAGUCGGGGGUGAAAUCCUGGAGCUCAACUCCAGAACUGCCUCGAUACUGGAAGACUCGAGUCCGGGAGAGGUGGAGUGGAACUGGCGAGUGGUAGAGGUGAAAAUUCGGUAGAUAUUCGCAAGAACACCAGUCGGCGAAGGCGGACUCGCUGGCCCGGUACUGGACGCUGAGGUGCGAAAGCGUGGGGAGC